rnacentral:lncRNA from 1 species
CCAUAACCAGGGUUGGGAGCUAGCGCAACCUUGCAUGGAUGAUUACGCUGAAGCACAGCGAUGAGUAGGAGAGAGAGAAUAGAGCCGCUGCGACCACGCCUCGCGUUCACCAUCGCCCAGCCUCUCGAUCGCUGGGGAAUCGGGCGAGAUCACCAAGUCGUGCAGAUCGUGCGUGUGGUCAGCAGAGCAAGGAAGUUGGCGGGGGAGACGAAUUGCUUGCCGGUGCUUGGCCGAAUCCUCACCGGGAAUCCUCGGGCGGCACUACAGCGUCGACCGGCCGCAUCGACGUCUUCUCGAGUGGUGAGACCCUACUAAAUUACUCGCCGUAGCAUCCGCAUAGAUGAUCCCCAUUCAAUUUCCGAAUUUAGACCUAGAAAUCGGCAGGGUUGGUUCGCCACCAAUGGCGACAUCGUGCCUUCGCGUUCUGUCGCCGGUCGGGCGCCGUGGUGAGAGAGAGAGGAUUGGGGGGGAGAAAAAUGAAGGGCUUGGGCUGUUGGAUCAUACACGGAUGGCACCGAUCUAAGCGCGCAUACCCCUUCGCUCAAUAGGAUUUGGGCCGUAGAUCUGAGAUCAAGCGAUCAGGAUUUGAUCAUAGUCAUUCUUAAUCUGGACUGACGAUCUUUAAUCCGGUGGUCCUCAUGGCUUACCGGUUCAUUUUUAAUGAAGUCUAAUCCUGGCCGCGGAAUUUAGAUCUGACGGCUGAAGUCAGCCCGUACCCCUUCGGCCGGGGAUAAUUGCACGUGAGCCCUCAUAAAACUAUCAAAUAAACCCGCCGUCCACUCACGUGGAAAACUAAUUAAAUCUAGGUCCUGAGUUUCACAGUUUAGACCCUGUGUUUUCUAGAAAUUGUGUUCGCAGGCCAGAAUUAAUAGGGAUAUUCAUAAUUAAAUCAGAAAAUGAUUUUUUUAUAAAAAUAAAUCUAGGAACUUGUUUAAUUCAUAGUUAAUUCAUUUUAGCUCCGGAUUGAGUUAUUCCAGUUGCAAUAAUUUUGUUUUAAUAUUAUCUAUCAUCUAGUGCUUCUGUUUAGCCAUAAAACUUGAAUUAAAAAUGUUCAUUUGAAUUAAUCUAUUCUAGGUGCUUAACAACUCCAGAAAUUCAUAACUUGUUAACCGUAACUCCGAAUUUAGUAAUUCUUGUUCCUAUGAUCUCGUUACGCAGCUUAGAAUAUUAUUAUGUAGUUUGAUCUUAUAUUUGGUGUGAUGUUAAUUUUGCAUAUACAUGUUUGUCUGUAUUACUACGUUUAGCAGUGAGGACACGAGUUACCUGAAGAUCAUCCUGGUACCUGGAAUCUCAAGUCCCAGGCAAGUUGUGCCCUUGAUCACUUCUUUUUACCCAGUCAUGUUCUGAUUAAUCAUAAUGAUCUGCAUAUGUUAAUUUUGAUGGGACCCAAUAGGUUACCCUAGUUUGAUUAUCUUUAUACCUUGAUUACCACUGGACUUUUUGGGUAGUACCUGCUAUUGCUUUAUGUGGUUUUGGGUAUGAAGAUUACAUUAUUCAUGAUUACACUUUUGUUAUUAGUUGUUAUUUACUAUUCAUGAUAAGAUCAUUAUGUUAAUUGGAACAUGGAGAACCACCCGGGAAAACAGUGCUACCACAAGGGUUUAUGGACGCCCUUGGCUGAUUAACUAGGAAAGCUAGUGGAGGUCUUCCUUACCCGAAAGGGGCAAGGGCAGUAGGGGAGUGGUCAGUGUAGGGAGGUCCUUGGUUGAUUUUGCUGCGAUGGCGGUCAGGCAAGAACCCUGCAUUGGAGCUUCCUAUAAACUGUAGCGGGAUUUCUGAAGCUAGUGGAACUUUGUAAAGGCCUCGUAGUGUUACCCUGCCUCGCCUCCUCGGUAGAGGUGUAUGGGAUUGGCCGUCUCUUGGCAGAUGGGUAACAUGACUUGUGCGUAAAGAUGUGCAACCUCUACGGAGUGUAAAACUGGUAUACUAGCCGUGCUCACGGUCAUGAGCGGCUCGGACACUCACAUGAUUAAAUUAUGGAACUUAAACUCAAUUUGUCAUAUGCAUUGCAUCGCAGGUGAGGUUGUUACUUUUGUUCUACUAAAUUGGGAUGGUAUUUACUUAUACUUAGUAAUUGCUAAUAAAAUUUUGACCAACUUUAAAAGCAAUGCUCAGCUCUAACCAUCCUCUUUGGUAAGCUUACACUUCACGUGAGCUCCCACCUUUGGCGAGUUCAUGCACAUUAUUCCCCACAACUUGUUGAGCGAUGAACGUAUGUGAGCUCACUCUUGCUGUCUCACACCCCCCACAGGUCAAGAACAGGUACCACAGGAUGAGGCGCUUGGAGGAUGCUGUGACGAGUUCGUGAGAGGUCUAGGUCGUCGUCUCCCAGUCAACUUUGGGUUGCUGGACCGUUGUCUCCAUAUAAUGUAUUUAUUUAUUUAUUUUGUACAAAACUCCGAUUAUAUAGUAAAGAUGUGACAUUCGAUCCUGUGCCAUGAUUCAUCAUAUGUGUGAGACUUGGUCCCAGCACACCUGGUGAUUAUGUUCGCGCCCGGGUCUUGGUGCCCCGAAACCCGGGUGUGACAGAAGUGGUAUCAGAGGAAUGUUGACUGUAGGACGUAACCUAGAUAGAACUGGACAACCAUUGUCUACUUACCUUUGCUACUCUGAUUCUUUUCUAAACUUAUCUUAAUCUUUUCUCAUCCAUUUCCGCUUUACUCUGAUUAUUCUUACCUUUUUCUUCUAAAGACAAAUGUGGAUUUCACACUCUGAAAUCCUGUACCUAAAGUGACUUUUAGGAAUAGGAGACUUAAUCUUAGGAACAAAAAAACAAAACUAUUUUUUUAUCUAUACGCUUGAAUGUUUGUUCUUAUGAUAUUUGUCUGAUUUGGAUCUUUGAUUGAGUGUGAUGGGUUGUGGAGUAAUGUCCACAAUUACAUCUGCAUAUACAUAUAGGGAAAAAUGCUUAUAAAAAUAACUAGAUAAACUAGAUUAUCCCUCAUUAAAGGAUCUAGCCAAACAAUAUCCAUCUCAUCUUAAAAGAUUCUAUCCUACACUCGUAGAUCCAUCUUAUCUUAAGAAGAUACUCAUCUUAUCUUGAAAAGAUUUUAUGUCAUGCUAAUAGAUCUAACUGAUCUCAAAUGAUUCUAUCUUAUCUUUAUGGAUCCAUCUUAUCCUAACAAGCAUACUUACCCACCCUAGUUUAACAACCAUGAUCUAAUGCAAAUUAAUUAGAUCUUAUCUAGUCAAACUAGUCAUACCAAUCUAAUCUAGAUCCCAUCUAAUCUAAUAUGAUCUAAUCUAAUGUGGUCUAUUUAAACAGAUUAGUGAUACUGGUAGAAGAGAUUAAACCCUACUAGCCAGGUAUUAACUUAACUUCGCACAUUAGACCAACUCAACCAUGGGCAUAAGAUCUAACCUAGCCAAUAGAGUCUUGAUGGAUUGCAUAAUCUAUCUAUCUCCACCUAACCUCAAACAAACUUUUGACCUACAUCAAUCUCACCCAUAUCUAUCUUAACCAUACCCUGGUAACUCCGAUGAUAAACGCUGACCCCGACUCAAUGAGACCAAGACCAGAAAAGAACAAGAUCAACCUCGUCAAGGAAGGAGAGAAGUCAAACUCGAUCUUCAGAUGCAUUACCACCCAACAAGGAGUCCUUUCUCACCAUAAACUGUCUUACCCCUAGCUAUUGUUUCCCUAACCUAUCCAUCUCUUAUAUCCUACAUAAUAGGUGGCUAGAAACCCAUGCUUUCCUAAAUACCUAUUUAUUUGUAUAAAAAAAACUUUUCAAUAUUGAACUAAAAGACAAUUACAAACAAAACUUUCUACACCUCUUUCUUACAAAUCUCGAGGACGAGAUUUUUGUUAAGGGGGGUAGGAUUUGUAAAGCCCUAAAAUUGCGUAAGAUAAAAAAAUGAUAAAAUAAAUAAAUACAUAUAUAAAAUUGUUUUGGGAACACAGAACCUUGGGAGACUAUCAAUUUAUUUAUCAAUAGGUUAUACCCUUCAUGAACAAUAUAAAUAGAAACCAUCUUUUAAUCAAGCUAAUAGUAAUUAAUGAUAAAGUUUGGACAUUACUUCCUCUAAAAUAAGUAGUAAAUAUGCACUUUUGAAUCGACCUUUAAUUUUACAACACCUUCAAAUAAUAUUUUUCUAAAAGAAAGAUAGCGUGUGUACUUCAUAUUUGAAACAAUUGUCUAAUUAAUAAAUAAAACAAUAAAUGUAAAUAUAUAUCUACAUAUAUUUGCAUUCAUGCGGGAGUUUGAUUGUGCAUUUUUAAGUAUGUGUCAAAUCCAAAACUAAUUUUGAAUUCUAUUCGAAUUUGGAAUUGUAAGUUAAGAAAAUGAUAAAAAUAUAGAUGAAGAGAGAACAAACCGGUUUGACCCAAUCUCACUCACGUGGCCUACAUUCUCUUCUCUCUCCCCAUAACCCGUCUUGUUUCUUUCCAUUUAUAAUUCUUGUACAAACUACUGGUAACUGCCGGGGACGUAUGUUCCUUCCAUGUCAGACACCGACAUGUGGGGCACCCUGCAUACGAGCACGAACGCUGAACCAUCCCAGAAAAAUCGUCGGUGCCUGUAACAACCGCGUAACAACCGGGCAUGAGCCGACAGAUGGCGUUACAGGUUUAUAAAACCCGAUCCCCAUGUGCCUUCCGCCAUAACCAGGCUUGGGAGCUAGCGCAACCUUGCAUGGAUGAUUACGCUGAAGCACAGCGACGAGUAGGAGAGAGAGAAUAGAGCCGCUACGACCACGCCUCGCGUUCACCAUCGCCCAGCCUCUCGAUCGCUGGGGAAUCGGGCGAGAUCACCAAGUCGUGCAGAACGUGCGUGUGGUCAGCAGAGCAAGGAAGUUGGCGGGGGAGACGAAUUGCUUGCCGGUGCUUGGCCGAAUCCUCACCGGGAAUCCUCGGGCGGCACUGCAGCGUCGACCGGCCGCAUCGACGUCUUCUCGAGUGGUGAGACCCUACUAAAUUACUCGCCGUAGCAUCCGCAUAGAUGAUCCCCAUUCAAUUUCCGAAUUUAGACAUAGAAAUCGGCAGGGUUGGUUCGCCACCAAUGGCGACGUCGUGCCUUCGUGUUCUGUCGCCGGUCGGGCGCCGUGGUGAGAGAGAGAGAGGAUUGGGGGGGAGAAAAAUGAAGGGCUUGGGCUGUUGGAUCAUACACGGACGGCGCCGAUCUAACCGCGCAUACCCCUUCGCUCAAUAGGAUUUGGGCCGUAGAUCUGAGAUCAAGCGAUCAGGAUUUGAUCAUAGUCAUUCUUAAUCUGGACUGACGAUCUUUAAUCCGGUGGUCCUCAUGGCUGACCGGAUCAUUUUUAAUGAAGUCUAAUCCUGGCCGCGGAAUUUAGAUCUGACGGCUGAAGUCAGCCCGUACCCCUUCGGCCGGGGAUAAUUGCACGUGAGCCCUCAUAAAACUAUCAAAUAAACCCGUCGUCCACUCACGUGGAAAACUAAUUAAAUCUAGGUCCUGAGUUUCACAGUUUAGACCCUGUGUUUUCUAGAAAUUGUGUUCGCAGGCCAGAAUUAAUAGGGAUAUUCAUAAUUAAAUCAGAAAAUGAUUUUUUUAUAAAAAUAAAUCUAGGAACUUGUUUAAUUCAUAGUUAAUUCAUUUUAGCUCCAGAUUGAGUUAUUCCAGUUGCAAUAAUUUUGUUUUAAUAUUAUCUAUCAUCUAGUGCUUCUGUUUAGCCAUAAAACUUGAAUUAAAAAUGUUCAUUUGAAUUAAUCUAUUCUAGGUGCUUAACAACUCCAGAAAUUCAUAACUUGUUAACCGUAACUUCGAAUUUAGUAAUUCUUGUUCCUAUGAUCUCGUUAUGCAGCUUAGAAUAUUAUUAUGUAGUUUGAUCUUAUAUUUGGUGUGAUGUUAAUUUUGCAUAUACAUGUUUGUCUGUAUUGCUACGUUUAGCAGUGAGGACACGAGUUACCUGAAGAUCAUCUUGGUACCUGGAAUCUCAAGUCCCAGGCAAGUUGUGCCCUUGAUCACUUCUUUUUACCCAGUCAUGUUCUGAUUAAUCAUAAUGAUCUGCAUAGGUUAAUUUUGAUGGGACCCAAUAGGUUACCCUAGUUUGAUUAUCUUUAUACCUUGAUUACCACUGACUUUUUGGGUAGCACCUGCUAUUGCUUUAUGUGGUUUUGGGUAUGAAGAUUACAUUAUUCAUGAUUACACUUUUGUUAUUAGUUGUUAUUUACUAUUCAUGAUAAGAUCAUUAUGUUAAUUGGAACAUGGAGAACCACCCGGGAAAACAGUGCUACCACAAGUGUUUAUGGACGCCCUUGGCUGAUUAACUAGGAAAGCUAGUGGAGGUCUUCCUUACCCGAAAGGGGCAAGGGCAGUAGGGGAGUGGUCACUGUAGGGAGGUCCUUGGUUGAUUUUGCUGCGAUGGCGGUCAGGCAAGAACCCUGCAUUGGAGCUUCCUAUAAACUGUAGCGGGAUUUCUGAAGCUAGUGGAACUUUGUAAAGGCCUCGUAGUGUUACCCUGCCUCGCCUCCUCGGUAGAGGUGUAUGGGAUUGGCCGUCUCUUGGCAGAUGGGUAACAUGACUUGUGGGUAAAGAUGUGCAACCUCUGCAGAGUGUAAAACUGGUAUACUAGCCGUGCUCACGGUCAUGAGCGGCUCGGACACUCACAUGAUUAAAUUAUGGAACUUAAACUCAAUUUGUCAUAUGCAUUGCAUCGCAGGUGAGGUUGUUACUUUUGUUCUACUAAAUUGGGCUGGUAUUUACUUAUACUUAGUAAUUGCUAAUAAAAUUUUGACCAACUUUAAAAGCAAUGCUCAGCUCUAACCAUCAUCUUUGGUAAGCCUUACACUUCACGUGAGCUCCCACCUUUGGCGAGUUCAUGCACAUUAUUCCCCACAACUUGUUGAGCGAUGAACGUAUGUGAGCUCACUCUUGCUGUCUCACACCCCCCCCACAGGUCAAGAAUAGGUACCAUAGGAUGAGGCGCUUGGAGGAUGCUGUGACGAGUUCGUGAGAGGUCUAGGUCGUCGUCUCCCAGUCAACUUUGGGUUGCCGGACCGUUGUCUCCAUAUAAUGUAUUUAUUUAUUUAUUUUGUACAAAACUCCAAUUAUAUAGUAAAGAUGUGACAUUCGAUCAUGUGCCAUGAUUCAUCAUAUGUGUGAGACUUGGUCCUAGCACACCUGGUGAUUAUGUUCGCGCCCGGGUCUUGGUGCCCCGAAACCCGGGUGUGACAGAAGUGGUAUCAGAGGAAUGUUGACUGUAGGACGUAACCUAGAUAGAACUGGACAACCAUUGUCUACUUACCUUUGCUACUCUGAUUCUUUUCUAAACUUAUCUUAAUCUUUUCUCAUCCAUUUCUGCUUUACUCUGAUUAUUCUUACCUUUUUCUUAUAAAGACAAAUGUGGAUUUCACACUCUGAAAUCCUGUACCUAAAGUGACUUUUAGGAAUAGGAGACUUAAUCUUAGGAACAAAAAAACAAAACUAUUUUUUUAUCUAUACGCUUGAAUGUUUGUUCUUAUGAUAUUUGUCUGAUUUGGAUCUUUGAUUGAGUGUGAUGGGUUGUGGAGUAAUGUCCACAAUUACAUCUGCAUAUACAUAUAGGGAAAAAUGCUUAUAAAAAUAACUAGAUAAACUAGAUUAUCCCUCAUUAAAGGAUCUAGCCAAACAAUAUCCAUCUCAUCUUAAAAGAUUCUAUCCUACACUCGUAGAUCCAUCUUAUCUUAAGAAGAUACUCAUCUUAUCUUGAAAAGAUUUUAUGUCAUGCUAAUAGAUCUAACUGAUCUCAAAUGAUUCUAUCUUAUCUUUAUGGAUCCAUCUUAUCCUAACAAGCAUACUUAUCCACCCUAGUUUAACAACCAUGAUCUAAUGCAAAUUAAUUAGAUCUUAUCUAGUCAAACUAGUCAUACCAAUCUAAUCUAGAUCCCAUCUAAUCUAAUAUGAUCUAAUCUAAUGUGGUCUAUUUAAACAGAUUAGUGAUACUGGUAGAAGAGAUUAAACCCUACUAGCCAGGUAUUAACUUAACUUCGCACAUUAGACCAACUCAACCAUGGGCAUAAGAUCUAACCUAGCCAAUAGAGUCUUGAUGGAUUGCAUAAUCUAUCUAUCUCCACCUAACCUCAAACAAACUUUUGACCUACAUCAAUCUCACCCAUAUCUAUCUUAACCAUACCCUGGUAACUCCGAUGAUAAACGCUGACCCCAACUCAAUGAGACCAAGACCAGAAAAGAACAAGAUCAACCUCGUCAAGGAAGGAGAGAAGUCAAACUCGAUCUUCAGAUGCAUUACCACCCAACAAGGAGUCCUUUCUCACCAUAAACUGUCUUACCCCUAGCUAUUGUUUCCCUAACCUAUCCAUCUCUUAUAUCCUACAUAAUAGGUGGCUAGAAACCCAUGCUUUCCUAAAUACCUAUUUAUUUGUAUAAAAAAAACUUUUCAAUAUUGAACUAAAAGACAAUUACAAGCAAAACUUUCUACACCUCUUUCUUACAAAUCUCGAGGACGAGAUUUUUGUUAAGGGGGGUAGGAUUUGUAAAGCCCUAAAAUUGCGUAGGAUAAAAAAUGAUAAAAUAAUACAUACAUAUAUAAAAUUGUUUUGGGAACACAGAACCUUGGGAGACUAUCAAUUUAUUUAUCAAUAGGUUAUACCCUUCAUGAACAAUAUAAAUAGAAACCAUCUUUUAAUCAAGCUAAAAGUAAUUAAUGAUAAAGUUUGGACAUUACUUCCUCUAAAAUAAGUAGUAAAUAUGCACUUUUGAAUCGACCUUUAAUUUUACAACACCUUCAAAUAAUAUUUUUCUAAAAGAAAGAUAGCGUGUGUACUUCAUAUUUGAAACAAUUGUCUAAUUAAUAAAUAAAACAAUAAAUGUAAAUAUAUAUCUACAUAUAUUUGCAUUCAUGCGGGAGUUUGAUUGUGCAUUUUUAAGUAUGUGUCAAAUCCAAAACUAAUUUUGAAUUCUAUUCGAAUUUGGAAUUGUAAGUUAAGAAAAUGAUAAAAAUAUAGAUGAAGAGAGAACAAACCGGUUUGACCCAAUCUCACUCACGUGGCCUACAUUCUCUUCUCUCUCCCCAUAACCCGUCUUGUUUCUUUCCAUUUAUAAUUCUUGUACAAACUACUGGUAACAGCCGGGGGACGUAUGUUCCUUCCAUGUCAGACACCGACACGUGGGGCACCCUGCAUACGAGCACGAACGCUGAACCAUCCCAGAAAAAUCGUCGGUGCCUGUAACAACCGCGUAACAACCGGGCAUGAGCCGACAGAUGGCGUUACAGGUUUAUAAAACCCGAUUCCCAUGUGCCUUCCGCCAUAACCAGGCUUGGGAGCUAGCGCAACCUUGCAUGGAUGAUUACGCUGAAGCACAGCGACGAGUAGGAGAGAGAGAAUAGAGCCGCUGCGACCACGCCUCGCGUUCACCAUCUCCCAGCCUCUCGAUCGCUGGGGAAUUGGGCGAGAUCACCAAGUCGUGCAGAUCGUGCGUGUGGUCAGCAGAGCAAGGAAGUUGGCGGGGGAGACGAAUUGCUUGCCGGUGCUUGGCCGAAUCCUCACCGGGAAUCCUCGGGCGGCACUGCAGCGUCGACCGGCCGCAUCGACGUCUUUUCGAGUGGUGAGACCCUACUAAAUUACUCGCCGUAGCAUCCGCAUAGAUGAUCCCCAUUCAAUUUCCGAAUUUAGACCUAGAAAUCGGCAGGGUUGGUUCGCCACCAAUGGCGACGUCGUGCCUUAGCGUUCUGUCGCCGGUCGGGCACCGUGGUGAGAGAGAGAGGAUUGGGGGGGAGAAAAAUGAAGGGCUUGGGCUGUUGGAUCAUACACGGACGGCGCCGAUCUAACCACGCAUACCCCUUCGCUCAAUAGGAUUUGGGCCGUAGAUCUGAGAUCAAGCGAUCAGGAUUUGAUCAUAGUCAUUCUUAAUCUGGACUGACGAUCUUUAAUCCGGUGGUCCUCAUGGCUUACCGGUUCAUUUUUAAUGAAGUCUAAUCCUGGCCGUGGAAUUUAGAUCUGACGGCUGAAGUCAGCCCGUACCCCUUCGGCCGGGGAUAAUUGCAUGUGAGCCCUCAUAAAACUAUCAAAUAAACCCGUCGUCCACUCACGUGGAAAACUAAUUAAAUCUAGGUCCUGAGUUUCACAGUUUAGACCCUGUGUUUUCUAGAAAUUGUGUUCGCAGGCCAGAAUUAAUAGGGAUAUUCAUAAUUAAAUCAGAAAAUGAUUUUUUUUAUAAAAAUAAAUCUAGGAACUUGUUUAAUUCAUAGUUAAUUCAUUUUAGCUCCAGAUUGAGUUAUUCCAGUUGCAAUAAUUUUGUUUUAAUAUUAUCUUUCAUCUAGUGCUUCUGUUUAGCCAUAAAACUUGAAUUAAAAAUGUUCAUUUGAAUUAAUCUAUUCUAGGUGCUUAACAACUCCAGAAAUUCAUAACUUGUUAACCGUAACUCCGAAUUUAGUAAUUCUUGUUCUUAUGAUCUCGUUACGCAGCUUAGAAUAUUAUUAUGUAGUUUGAUCUUAUAUUUGGUGUGAUGUUAAUUUUGCAUAUACAUGUUUGUCUGUAUUGCUACGUUUAGCAAUGAGGACACAAGUUACCUGAAGAUCAUCCUGGUACCUGGAAUCUCAUGUCCCAGGCAAGUUGUGCCCUUGAUCACUUCUUUUUACCCAGUCAUGUUCUGAUUAAUCAUAAUGAUCUGCAUAGGUUAAUUUUGAUGGGACCCAAUAGGUUACCCUAGUUUGAUUAUCUUUAUACCUUGAUUACCACUGGACUUUUUGGGUAGUACCUGCUAUUGCUUUAUGUGGUUUUGGGUAUGAAGAUUACAUUAUUCAUGAUUACACUUUUGUUAUUAGUUGUUAUUUACUAUUCAUGAUAAGAUCAUUAUGUUAAUUGGAACAUGGAGAACCACCCGGGAAAACAGUGCUACCACAAGGGUUUAUGGACGCCCUUGGCUGAUUAACUAGGAAAGCUAGUGGAGGUCUACCUUACCCGAAAGGGGCAAGGGCAGUAGGGGAGUGGUCAGUGUAGGAAGGUCCUUAGUUGAUUUUGCUGCGAUGGCGGUCAGGCAAGAACCCUGCAUUGGAGCUUCCUAUAAACUGUAGCGGGAUUUCUGAAGCUAGUGGACCUUUGUAAAGGCCUCGUAGUGUUACCCUGCCUCGCCUCCUCGGUAGAGGUGUAUGGGAUUGGCCGUCUCUUGGCAGAUGGGUAACAUGACUUGUGGGUAAAGAUGCGCAACCUCUGCAGAGUGUAAAACUGGUAUACUAGCCGUGCUCACGGUCAUGAGCGGCUCGGACACUCACAUGAUUAAAUUAUGGAACUUAAACUCAAUUUGUCAUAUGCAUUGCAUCGCAGGUGAGGUUGUUACUUUUAUUCUACUAAAUUGGGCUGGUAUUUACUUAUACUUAGUAAUUGCUAAUAAAAUUUUGACCAACUUUAAAAGCAAUGCUUAGCUCUAACCAUCCUCUUUGGUAAGCCUUACACUUCACGUGAGCUCCCACCUUUGGCGAGUUCAUGCACAUUAUUCCCCACAACUUGUUGAGCGAUGAACGUAUGUGAGCUCACUCUUGCUGUCUCACACCCCCCCCACAGGUCAAGAACAGGUACCACAGGAUGAGGCGCUUGGAGGAUGCUGUGACAAGUUCGUGAGAGGUCUAGGUCGUCGUCUCCCAGUCAACUUUGGGUUGCUGGACCGUUGUCUCCAUAUAAUGUAUUUAUUUAUUUAUUUUGUACAAAACUCCGAUUAUAUAGUAAAGAUGUGACAUUCGAUCAUGUGCCAUGAUUCAUCAUAUGUGUGAGACUUGGUCCCAGCACACCUGGUGAUUAUGUUCGCGCACGAGUCUUGGUGCCCCGAAACCCGGGUGUAACAAUUACAUAGACGUGGUUGAAAUGUUUCGGUGGUAGGUCGUAGUAUGGUUGUGUUCAUGAUUUUGAGUUAGAGAUUGGUGGUUGACGAUUCGUAUAAAUUGGUUGAUGAUGUGCAUGUGUGAUUAUAUGUGUAAAAAAAUUGUAUUGGUAUGGAUGGAAGUUUGUAGUGAAAGAAAAUGAGUAAGGAACUGGGCUCGGAUGUUUUUAAGUUUUGG